GCGAUAUUUGAGAAAAGAGCAUAUCAAUCUAAUAGCCGUAGACGCAUAGCGGAACUAACUUUACCCUGCGUCACGUGAUUUCCGAUUCUUGUGAAAAGGCCUAUUAAUGUGGGUUUAACGCUUUAAGUUGGACUAUAAUUGUUUUGUCAGAAACCGCGCUUUCUGCGUGGGAGUUUGUGACUGAGGGAAAGUGAAAUGCCACCGGAGUUGUGUGGUUUUGGACUGUGAUGCGAGCUUAUGCCUGUUAGCCUCUCUGACUAAAUUAGCUCGUGGUUUUGCAGUAACAUUUUUUCAUACGGUCGCGGGAGUGACCGCAUACACAUCGUUUGCAUGCUGGACGAGGGAAGACAAUAUCGGGACGAGAUUCGCUGGCUGACGCAGAUGUUUUCUUCAUUGGGGACCGGUUGGCUGUCGAUGCUGGACGGACGACGCUGAUUAACCCUUGCUGUGCCGCUUGCAAACGGAGUUCGCCUGAGGAGAGAGAGAGUUACAAUCGCGGUAGGAUCCGUGUUUUUUUCUUCACUCUACACCAGGAGGUAUUGUUGCUUUCUUCAUUUUAUGAGCUCCAACAUUAAGCGCGCCAACGAACUAACUAGGCCUGCUAAAAGAACUGAAAAAUAAGAGUGCACUCAGGUUAUCACAGACUUAUGACUUCGGGGGUGUUUUCUAAUUUGGAUUUUAUUUUCAUAUUUGCUUUUUGCUGUUCAACUGUUAUGUGAGUUUUGUAUAAUACAAAUCAUUGAGCUAUGGCGAUCUUGUUGUUUAUUCUUUCACCAGCCAUUGUAUUUGUGUAGCUCAGUGUUUUCUGUGGUACUAUUCUAUAUUUUAAAACCAAUAAUAUUCUUUCAGGUACCCAUUGAUGAGCAAAGAUAUAGUGAAAAUUAUAGUGUUCUUAGACAGGGUUAUUAUACAAUGGAAUGUCUCUUUCACCAUUUUACCAAGCAUUAGGGUUAAGAGGGUUCAAUACUUUAUACGUUGCUGUAUAACGUACAUCUCAUCACGAGCAUAUGGUGAAAAGGGUUACAUAUGUGUAGUGAUAUGAACUCAAGUAGUCAUGUAUGUAUUGUUAUCAUUAAUAUUAUUAGUUAUCAUUUGUUAAAUAUAGUUCUUACGUUAAAUGUAUAUGAAAAUAUAUUUGUAUGUAGUACUGUGCAAGGAUGCCAACUUGAACAUCACUUAGACCUGUAAACGCUGGCGGAUGACGCUAGAGGGUGAUCGUGAGCCGCAGGAUAUAGAGCUUCAUUUAUAUAUGAAGAAGCCACUCUGGCAGUCACUAAUAUACAGUUGAAGAUAACUAAUUCUUAUCUCUGUUUAUGUGUGUUUACAGGUAAGAUGAGUGAUGUGGCAUCACAGUUUGUGUUCAUAAAAUGUUUAUACGUUAGUUAUAUGUGUUAGUUUGAUGAAUUUGUAUAUUAAAGCGAUAGAUAUGCGGCCGGCGGCGCCCGCGCGAUGGAUUGCGCAAUCGCGGCUGAGAGGCGGCCGACCCCGCUGCGCUGGUGGAGGCCGCGCGAGACAUCACGACAUAAUAUUACUAGUGCUUAAUGUCGUUAGACAAUAUAAUUGCAAUCACUCGUUGUUAUAAAAGAGUUGAUAUUUGUUUAUUGUUAUGUUUGUGUUCUAUAAAUCUGUCAUUGGUUAGGGACAACUAAAUUGCUGAUAGAGAUCGUUUACAACAGAGCACACAGAGAGAAAUAUAGUCUACUAAAAAGGAAACAAAGUGCUUAUACACCAUUUGUGUAUGUUUAUUGAGUAUUGUCUGUUUGAUGUAAUGUUAAUGCGUUACAGAUAGUAUAUAGCAAUGUAUUCUCAUUCUCUUUUGAUGUAUUGUCAUAAGAUUGUGCAAAGUGUGUUUAUUGAGAGAAAGCUUAUUUUAUAUAUGAAGAAGCCACUCUGGCAGUCACUAAUAUACAGUUGAAGAUAACUAAUUCUUAUCUCUGUUUAUGUGUGUUUACAGCGUGUUUAAGCAAUAAAACAAUAUAUGUGCCACCAGAAGUCCCCGCCUCUUCUGUGUGUGCAACAUAUGCCCUGAUCUUUAUUGGGGAGUGUUGCUCAACUCGUCUCUACAGAAUCCCCCCCAGGGUGACUAAACAACACUCGGAUAACCAGUACAAAGGACAGUUUUUUAAGAGAAAGAAAGACAAGCAAAAAAUGAUGCUGGAAAAUAAAAUGAUUGAAGG